rnacentral:lncRNA from 1 species
AUUUCCGGGUACCUUUUGGUGCCUUCGCGGGCCGGAAGCCAGACGGGCGCGGAGCCCCCAAACCUUGUAAAAUGCAUUCUCUAGAAGAGACCCCCCCCCCCCCCAACCAGGAGGAAAACGUGAGCUUGUUUGAGUACGACUUGUUUCCUUCACCUGUAGGAACAUGCAAGUUGAGGCCUCUCAGGAUGUGAGAAAAACUGCAGAGGAAAAUUUCCAGAGACUUGGUGAAGAUAGGAAAGCUAUCAAAAAGACCAUAGGACUAUUGUACUGUAUUUGCUGUUUAUCCUGAAGCUCAGCUGAGGCAGAGCUCAGCUGAUCUCUGUUUCUUGACUGUUUACUUCCUAUUGGCCAACCAAGAUUUUAUUGGAGAAUUCUGUUGCACAGAGCCUGCCAUCGUCUGUGGGCCGUAACAGGAACAUGCAUUUGCAAGUGUCAGUUAGAUUUGUGGAUCAAUAAAGUUUUCCUGAAAGGUAUGUAUAUGUUAAUU